UACAGAGGGUGCAAGCGUUAAUCGGAAUUACUGGGCGUAAAGCGUGCGUAGACGGUUACAUAAGUCGGGUGUGAAAGCCCCGGGCUCAACCUGGGAAUUGCAUUCGAGACUGCGUAGCUAGGGUGCGGAAGAGGGAAGCGGAAUUUCCGGUGUAGCGGUGAAAUGCGUAGAUAUAGGAAGGAACACCAGUGGCGAAGGCGACCACCUGGACUGAUACUGACACUGAGGUGCGAAAGCGUGGGGAGCAAACAGG
rnacentral:rRNA from 1 species